AUACUUCAUGCUCAAAAGUAAACAGAGCAGUGAUAAAAUGGAAAAGUACAAAUGAGACUCGAUCCAGUGAACAAGGGGCCCGGCUACCCACUCCUUGCCAUUCUAUUAUUUACUAGCUUAUGCUACAGAGUCAAUACAGGAAAUGGGCUACAAUGGAGCAUGCCCAAUACUAGCUCCAAAGAUCUUGAUUUCAUUUUCAGCACGAACUCUGUAAGAGGUUUUCGCGGUAGCUCGAUUCUUACAUUUAAUA
rnacentral:lncRNA from 1 species